CACGUAGUUAGCCGUGGCUUUCUGAUUAGGUACCGUCAAGACGUGCACGGUUACUUACACAUUUGUUCUUCCCUAAUAACAGAGUUUUACGAUCCGAAGACCUUCAUCACUCACGCGGCGUUGCUCCGUCAGGCUUUCGCCCAUUGCGGAAGAUUCCCUACUGCUGCCUCCCGUAGGAGUCUGGACCGUGUCUCAGUUCCAGUGUGGCCGAUCACCCUCUCAGGUCGGCUACGUAUCGUUGCCUUGGUAAGCCAUUACCCCACCAACUAGCUAAUACGGCGCGGGUCCAUCUAUAAGUGAUAGCAAAACCAUCUUUCACUUUAGAACCAUGCGGUUCUAAAUAUUAUCCGGCAUUAGCCCCGGUUUCCCGGAGUUAUUCCAGUCUUAUAGGUAGGUUACCCACGUGUUACUCACCCGUCCGCCGCUAACGUCAAAGGAGCAAGCUCCUUAUCUGUUCGCUCGACUUGCAUGUAUUAGGCACGCCGCCAGCGUUCAUCCUGAGCCAGGAUCAAACUCU
rnacentral:rRNA from 1 species